AAGAGACAGCAGUCGCCGCGGUAAUACGAAGGGAGCUAGCGUUGUUCGGAAUUACUGGGCGUAAAGCGCGCGUAGGCGGUUACUCAAGUCAGAGGUGAAAGCCCGGGGCUCAACCCCGGAACUGCCUUUGAAACUAGGUGACUAGAAUCUUGGAGAGGUCAGUGGAAUUCCGAGUGUAGAGGUGAAAUUCGUAGAUAUUCGGAAGAACACCAGUGGCGAAGGCGACUGACUGGACAAGUAUUGACGCUGAGGUGCGAAAGCGUGGGGAGCAAACAGGAUUAGAUACCCGUGUAGUCCCUGUCUCUUAUAC
rnacentral:rRNA from 1 species